rnacentral:tRNA from 1 species
GCCCGGGUGGCGGAAUGGUAUACGCACAACACUUAAAAUGUUGCGGUCGCAAGGCCAUGUGGGUUCGAGUCCCACCUCGGGCACAA